rnacentral:rRNA from 1 species
GAUGAACGCUGGCGGCGUGCUUAACACAUGCAAGUCGAACGGGAAACCUUUUAUUGAAGCUUCGGCAGAUUUAGCUGGUUUCUAGUGGCGGACGGGUGAGUAACGCGUGGGUAACCUGCCUUAUACAGGGGGAUAACAGUCAGAAAUGACUGCUAAUACCGCAUAAGCGCACAGGACCGCAUGGUCUGGUGUGAAAAACUCCGGUGGUAUAAGAUGGACCCGCGUUGGAUUAGCUUGGUGGCGAGGUAACGGCUCACCAAGGCGACGAUCCAUAGCCGGCCUGAGAGGGUGAACGGCCACAUUGGGACUGAGACACGGCCCAGACUCCUACGGGAGGCAGCAGUGGGGAAUAUUGCACAAUGGGGGAAACCCUGAUGCAGCGACGCCGCGUGAAGGAAGAAGUAUCUCGGUAUGUAAACUUCUAUCAGCAGGGAAGAUAGUGACGGUACCUGACUAAGAAGCCCCGGCUAACUACGUGCCAGCAGCCGCGGUAAUACGUAGGGGGCAAGCGUUAUCCGGAUUUACUGGGUGUAAAGGGAGCGUAGACGGACUGGCAAGUCUGAUGUGAAAGGCGGGGGCUCAACCCCUGGACUGCAUUGGAAACUGUUAGUCUUGAGUGCCGGAGAGGUAAGCGGAAUUCCUAGUGUAGCGGUGAAAUGCGUAGAUAUUAGGAGGAACACCAGUGGCGAAGGCGGCUUACUGGACGGUAACUGACGUUGAGGCUCGAAAG